CACGUAGGGUGCGAGCGUUGUCCGGAAUCAUUGGGCGUAAAGCGCACGUAGGCGGCUCUGCAAGUCGGAUGUGAAAUCCCUCGGCUCAACCGAGGACGUGCAUCCGAAACUGCGGAGCUUGAGUAUGGAAGAGGGUCGCGGAAUCCCCGGUGUAGAGGUGAAAUUCGUAGAUAUCGGGGGGAACACCAGUGGCGAAGGCGGCGACCUGGGCCAAUACUGACGCUGAGGUGCGAAAGCGUGGGGAGCAAACAGG
rnacentral:rRNA from 1 species